UUGGAUUUCACUCAAAACCCACCAAAUGACUCGUCCCACAAUAUUAUGAUGUUCCCCAAGUUUUGGACUCAAUCCGAUAUCGAUUGGUCCUUGAAAUCGGACAAUUCAGGUUCGUACGAAGUUUGUUCUGAAAUGGGGUGGUUGGUGUAUUGUAUAGUUCUAGAGAUUGGAUUUCACUCAAAACCCACCAAAUGACUCCUCCCACAAUAUUAUGUUG
rnacentral:lncRNA from 1 species